UAAGGAAUAUUGGACAAUGGAGGCAACUCUGAUCCAGCCAUGCCGCGUGAAGGAAUAAGGCCCUAUGGGUUGUAAACUUCUUUUAGACGGGACAAAACCCCUUUACGUGUAAAGGGUUGAUGGUACUGUCAGAAUAAGCAUCGGCUAACUUCGUGCCAGCAGCCGCGGUAAUACGAAGGAUGCAAGCGUUAUCCGGAAUUAUUGGGUUUAAAGGGUGCGUAGGCGGACUAAUAAGUCAGUGGUGAAAGCCUGCAGCUUAACUGCAGAAUUGCCAUGGAUACUGUUAGUCUUGAGUACAGUUGAGGUAGGCGGAAUGUGUCAUGUAGCGGUGAAAUGCUUAGAUAUGACACAGAACACCGAUUGCGAAGGCAGCUUGCUAAGCUGUAACUGACGCUGAGGCACGAAAGCGUGGGGAGCAAACA
rnacentral:rRNA from 1 species